rnacentral:lncRNA from 1 species
GUAGCUCACCACCAAGUUUAAAAUCGCAAUGGGAUACAGAAAGUUCACCACCCAACGGAAAUUAAACGAGGAUACAGAACUAGAAAAUAAAAGACUCACCACUCAAGGACGCAUCCAAGAGAUACAGAGUUUAAGGGGUUCUCUAAGAGCUUCUGCCCAGAUAUCAUCAGUUUCUCCAGUCCUUUCUAAGUCCUAAACACCAAAAUAAAUACUAGUGCAUGAAACAACCCUUCAUGCAUAGGAAAUUUCGAAAUUAAGUGUUUACAGCUUCUAACCAACUAUUUUAAUGCACUCAUUGGUAAUGAAGAAAUGUUCACAGCUGCCAACCAACUCCUUUAAUGCAUUCCUUUGUCUUGAA